GCACGCUUAGGCGUGUGACUGCGUACCUUUUGUAUAAUGGGUCAGCGACUUAUAUUCUGUAGCAAGGUUAACCGAAUAGGGGAGCCGAAGGGAAACCGAGUCUUAACUGGGCGUUAAGUUGCAGGGUAUAGACCCGAAACCCGGUGAUCUAGCCAUGGGCAGGUUGAAGGUUGGGUAACACUAACUGGAGGACCGAACCGACUAAUGUUGAAAAAUUAGCGGAUGACUUGUGGCUGGGGGUGAAAGGCCAAUCAAACCGGGAGAUAGCUGGUUCUCCCCGAAAGCUAUUUAGGUAGCGCCUCGUGAAUUCAUCUCCGGGGGUAGAGCACUGUUUCGGCAAGGGGGUCAUCCCGACUUACCAACCCGAUGCAAACUGCGAAUACCGGAGAAUGUUAUCACGGGAGACACACGGCGGGUGCUAACGUCCGUCGUGAAGAGGGAAACAACCCAGACCGCCAGCUAAGGUCCCAAAGUCAUGGUUAAGUGGGAAACGAUGUGGGAAGGCCCAGACAGCCAGGAUGUUGGCUUAGAAGCAGCCAUCAUUUAAAGAAAGCGUAAUAGCUCACUGGUCGAGUCGGCCUGCGCGGAAGAUGUAACGGGGCUAAACCAUGCACCGAAGCUGCGGCAGCGACGCUGAUGCGUUGUUGGGUAGGGGAGCGUUCUGUAAGCCUGCGAAGGUGUGCUGUGAGGCAUGCUGGAGGUAUCAGAAGUGCGAAUGCUGACAUAAGUAACGAUAAAGCGGGUGAAAAGCCCGCUCGCCGGAAGACCAAGGGUUCCUGUCCAACGUUAAUCGGGGCAGGGUGAGUCGACCCCUAAGGCGAGGCCGAAAGGCGUAGUCGAUGGGAAACAGGUUAAUAUUCCUGUACUUGGUGUUACUGCGAAGGGGGGACGGAGAAGGCUAUGUUGGCCGGGCGACGGUUGUCCCGGUUUAAGCGUGUAGGCUGGUUUUCCAGGCAAAUCCGGAAAAUCAAGGCUGAGGCGUGAUGACGAGGCACUACGGUGCUGAAGCAACAAAUGCCCUGCUUCCAGGAAAAGCCUCUAAGCAUCAGGUAACAUCAAAUCGUACCCCAAACCGACACAGGUGGUCAGGUAGAGAAUACCAAGGCGCUUGAGAGAACUCGGGUGAAGGAACUAGGCAAAAUGGUGCCGUAACUUCGGGAG
rnacentral:rRNA from 1 species